GUGCCCUUUCCACAUGGGUGACUAUUUUAAAAUAAAAUUAUUUUACUGGGGGGUGGAGGUGGGGCACCUGGAAAGCAGUACCCGUUUUCCCAGAGCCAGGCAUAUUUGGGGGUGCUGGAGGGCUGGUGGAGAAGUUUAUUUAGGUAAUCUCUACACUCAAUGUGGGGCUCAAACUCAUGAUUUGGAGACCAAGAUUCGCAUGUCCUCCAACUGAGCCAGCCAGGCACCCCUGGACAGAGUAUCUGUGUUAGAGUUAGGCAAGAGACACCCAUGCCCUGGUUUCCAUGUUGUUCAGCCAGGAAAUGUGAAGAAACUUUGCCUUGGGACAGCCAAGCUCAGCCUGGAGCCUUCUGAUAUCCAAUGGACUCCUUAGGGAAAUGGCUGAUUGUGGGCUUGGGGCAGAAAGUGUACAAGAGAAGCCUGGAACAUCUUGUACCAAAUGUGAAUCAAGCUCUCCAAGACCACUGAAGGCUUGUGGAAAGAAAGGACUCAGGAUCCACCCUGGGAGAAGAUCCUUCCUUGCUAAAGAUGGGGGCAGUUUGGGUAUCAUAAUUGUGAUGGAUUAAAGCAUGUCAUAUGUGUUUAAAACCACUGAACACAGCUGAGGAAAGAAUCUAUGAGCCUGAGGAUAUCUCAAGAGAAACUUCCAAAACUCAAAAGCAAAGAAAAGAGACUGAAAGUAAUAGAAAAGAACAUCCAAGAACUUUGGGACAACUAAAACUGAGGUAUAACACAGGCAUAAUGGGAAUAUAUACAAAGAGGAGAAGAGAGAAACGAGGUAAAUAUUCGAAACUAUGGUGAUUGAGAAUUUCCCCCGAAUUAAUGUCAGACACCAAACCACAGAAGCAGGAAACCCAAGGAACACCAACCAAGCAGGAUAAAUGGCAAACAAAAACAAAAAACAAAAAAACCACAAACAAUAACAACAAAAGCCGUACACCUAUGUAUAUCCUAUUAAAAUUACAGAACAUCAAAAGUAAAGAAAAAAAUCUUGAGAAAUCAGAGGAAAAAAUACCCUACCUAUCAAAGAACGAAGAUAAGAAUUACACCAGACUUCAGAAACCAUGCAAGCAAGAAAAGAGUGGAGUGUAAUUUUUCAAGUGUUGGGGGAAAAAUUAGCAUAGCCUAAAAUUCUGUAUCCUGUGAAAUUAUCCCGUGAGAAUGAAGGAGAAUUACUUUCGAAGACAAACAUAAAUUGAGGGACUUUUUGCAAGUAUAUCUGUUUUAGAGAGAAGGAAAAUGAUAUAGAUCAGAAACUCAGAUCUACAUAAAGAAAGAGCAUUAAAGGAAUAAGGGAAGGUAAAAUAAAAACACUUUUCUUAUGUUUAAUUGAUCUAACAGAUAGGUUUGUUCAAAAUAAUAGCAGUACAUUCAAUUAUAUAUACUUAUAUUUAUGCUUAUGUAUAAGUAAAAUCAAGGACGGCAAUGAUGCAGUUGGUGGAAAGGAGGAAUUAGGAUUAUUUUGUUAUUAGAAGGUACUCACAGUGCUCAUGAAGUAGUGUGGAGUUAUUUGAAACUGGACUUGGAUUAGUUGCAAAUGUAUACUUCAAACUCUAGAGCAAUCACUGAGAAAAGUAAAAGGAAGAAUAACUGAUAGGCUAACAAAGAGAAAAUGGAAUAAAAAAAUAAUCAGUUAAAACCACAAAAGAUAAAAAAAGUAGAAGACAAAAAUAGGAACAAUAACAA